rnacentral:miRNA from 1 species
UUAUCAGACUUGUUGCAAGGUUGUUCCAACAAGUCCGAUACAGUCAUGAUAAAGCAAUAUUGUUACAACCUUGUGUCAUGAACCUUGUGACAUUCUUGUUAUAUCAUGACUGUAUCAAGCUUGUUAGAACAACCUUGUAACAAGUUUGAUAA